rnacentral:rRNA from 1 species
AGUGAACGCUGGCGGUAGGCCUAACACAUGCAAGUCGAACGGCAGCACAGGAGAGCUUGCUCUCUGGGUGGCGAGUGGCGGACGGGUGAGGAAUACAUCGGAAUCUACUUUUUCGUGGGGGAUAACGUAGGGAAACUUACGCUAAUACCGCAUACGACCUACGGGUGAAAGCAGGGGCUCUUCGGACCUUGCGCGAUUGAAUGAGCCGAUGUCGGAUUAGCUAGUUGGCGGGGUAAAGGCCCACCAAGGCGACGAUCCGUAGCUGGUCUGGGAGGAUGAUCAGCAACACUGGAACUGAGACACGGUCCAGACUCCUACGGGAGGCAGCAGUGGGGAAUAUUGGACAAUGGGCGCAAGCCUGAUCCAGCCAUACCGCGUGGGUGAAGAAGGCCCUCGGGUUGUAAAGCCCUUUUGUUGGGAAAGAAAUCCAGCUGGUUAAUACCCGGUUGGGAUGACGGUACCCAAAGAAUAAGCACCGGCUAACUUCGUGCCAGCAGCCGCCGCAG